rnacentral:lncRNA from 1 species
GCCAGGAGCUCAUCAAACAUUUUAUUACUCGGCCAGGGGACAAAUUUCUUGUAGCUUUCCAUUAAAAGCACACAAUUUAAUGUGAUAGAGAUGGGCAAAAGGGAGUCGGAAAAAUUAAUAAUAUACAACAUUUAAAGGUCAAUAAAUAUAAAUUUAUGUAAAUUGCUAAACGAUAAGAAAGCCGAGUGUAGAGUUUCGUGGAGACCGCUCUGCCAGAGCUCUCAGAGAGUUGUAACAGCGCGCGUUUACAUCGAUCGAUAACAGCGAGCGCUUACAUCCAUCGCUAACAGCAUGCUCAACAGUUUACAGUGCGGGAGCCUGUAAAUCGCAUGUCUGUUAAACACUAUAAAAUAUGAAUUUAAACAUUGCACAGCUUUUGCUUUAAAAUUGAGCCUUUUAUAUUAAAGUAAAACUAGGUAAAAAUGC